CGAGAGAAGGAGGACACCGGAGCCGGAGCUGAUGCUGACGGAGGACUCCCAGCCUGCAAUGACAGACCUGUGGUCAGUGUUCAGGACAUAAGUGGAAAUAUUGGUUUUGCAACUAAACUCACAUUUGAAAAUGAUGCUCAUUCAAUCAAAUAUGACUAAACACUUUUAAGUGUUCUGGAACUAAGGAACUAAGACUGCCUUUACAGAGUCAUCCUUACAAAGCCUUCUUUGGAAAAACUGGCUUACAGAGUUCCCAGCCUUGCAGCCUGCCGAGUGCCUGCGAUUACAGGCGCGCGCCGCCACA
rnacentral:lncRNA from 1 species